rnacentral:lncRNA from 1 species
UUCUUUCUCUUUCUUUUCUCUCUCUCUCUCUCUCUCUCUCUCUUUCUUUCUUUCUUUUUUUUUAGGGCUGCAGAGUGGCAUAUGGAAGUUCCCAGGCCAGGGGUGGAAUCGGAGCUGCCAGCCUAUAUCACAGCCACAGCAACAGAGAAUCCAAGCAGUUUCUGUGACGUACACCACAGCUCACGGCAACACUGGAUCCUUAACCCACUGAGCAAGACCAGGGAGUGAACCUCAAUCCUCAUGGAUACUAGUAGGGUUUGUUUCUGCUGAGCCACAAUGGGAACUCCCUGUUUUUUCCUUUAAAAGGAAUUUAAAAGCAGUAUGUAAACCUUUGGCAAAUAUAUCGAGACCAUGAGAAAGAAAACACAUGUGGGCUCACUCUCUGACUACUAUGAAAUCAAACAUUACAUUUUCCUUCUCAGUAUUCUUCCAAGACUUUCACAUACAUUAUCACUUUGAGCCCCAUAUAGGAAACUUUCAUCAUGUUAACACACAAGAACUUUGAAACCCCCAAAGACAAGCUUGCUUAAGACUACAGAACUAGUCAAUGCUGAAGCCAGAGCUGGACUCUACGUUUCACCACAAUGCUGCUGCUCAUUGUUGAAUUUCACAUUUGCAGUUAGUCAAGAUCUGACAGUUGUUAGAGGCUAGUCCCCAGCAGCUUAACAUUCUCAAAGCCUCAGGUUCCUCUUCCCCAAUAUUUGAUAAAUAUUCCCAGUGUUUUAUGAACUUGUUAAAUUUUGUAUGUAAACAGGUGGGACAUUGCUAAAAUGUACCUAUUUCUAUACUGUAUAAAAAUGCUGGGCAUCCCUGAAAUAUUAUACCUAUAUUGCUUCCAGCGUCACAUUCAAAAGGUUGACUUUUAGCAUCUUCUAAGGCCUAACAUUCUCAUUCCCUAUGAUACAGCGAUUCCACUCCUAGGGGUUUUUUGGGGUUUUUUUGCUUUUUUUAGAGCCACACCCAGUGCAUAUGGAGGUUCCCAGGCUAGGGGUCCAUCGGAGCUACAGCUGCAGGGCUACGCCACAGCCACAGCAAUGCUGGAUCCAAGGCACAUCUUCGAACUACACCACAGCUCACUGCAACGCCGGAUGCUUAACACUGAGCAAGGAUCCGGUGUUACCGUGAGCUGUGGUGUAGGUUGCAGACGUAGCUCGGAUCCUGCAUUGCUGUGGCUCUGGCAUAGGCUGGUGGCUACAGCUCUGAUUAGACCCCUAGCCUGGGAACCUCCAUGUGCCACAAGAGCGGCCCAAGAAAUGACAAAAAGAAAAAAAAAAAAAAAAAAAGAUACCUUCUUAAAUACUCAGAGCACUACUCUUAAGAGUCCCAAACUAGGUCCUACCAAAUGUUCACAGGCAGUAAAAUUUGACAAAUUUGACAAACACUCUUUUUUUUUUUUCUUUUUUGCCCCCCCCCCCCCCGCCCCCGCAGCAUAUGGAGUUCCCAGGCCAGGGAUCAGAUCUGAGCCACAGUUGCAACCAAGGUGCAGCUGCAACCUAAGCUGCACCUGUGGUAACGCAGAAUUCUUAACCACUGUACCUGGCUGGAGAUCAAACCUGUGAACGCCAAUUAAUACUUUUUUUUAUGAUCACAAAAUGGAACACUAUUUAGCAGUGUUCAUGAGCAAUCUGCAUGCACACGACAAUAACAAUAUAUAAUAGCAAGCAGACGUUUAAAAAAGGCACACUGUAGGAUUCAUCAUAAAAUGCAGAGUUGGGAAAAAUUAGCUUGUUUUGUUGUAAUGAAGAGUUCCUUGGGGAAAGGGAAAGUACCUGGCAAAGGAAUUAGGUGACUUCUAGAGUGCUGAUGAUUAAAAGAAAUUUUCAGGGAGUUCCCGUCGUGGCUCAGUGGUUAAUGAACCCAACUAGUAACCAUGAGGUUGGGGUUCAAUCCCUGGCCUUGCUCAGAAGGUUAAGGAUCUGGUGUUGCUGUGGCUGUGGUGUGGGACAGCAGCUGUAGCUCUGAUUUGACCCCUAGCCUGGGAACCUCCAUAUGUCCUGGAUGUGGCCCUAAAAAGACAAAAGACAAAAGACAAAAAAAAAAAAAAAAGGAAAUUUUCACAUAAUUGAGAUACAAAAAGUCAUUCUGGUUUAUAUAUGAGUUAACUUGAAUUUUAUGCUAAAAUAGCCUGUCUGUGGUCUUUUAAACGCACAUUGUACACCUGCUUUAAUUAUUAGAGAAAAGGACAUACUGACCAGAAGUAAAACAAUGGCCAUGUUAAAAAUAAAGAUUAAUUUUUCCUGGGAUGCCAAUGCUGGUACUCCUUUGAUGACAAGAUGACAAGACUCCAUCCUUGGGUGCCAAGACCAAUACUGACUCACAUGUACUGGUGUGUAUUUUUUUUCUUUUUGAAUUGUUUAAGAAAUGUAAACAAUCUGUUAAAAGUUCUUUGUUCCCACAAGAUAUAAAACAAUGCUAAAAAUCCUGCUUCUCUGGAGCAGUUUCUCAGAGUGAUUUGGGAAGUUGGCUUCCGGGCUAAGUCCUCAGUUUGGCUCGAAGAAAACUUUUCUAUUCUUAUUUUAGACUGCUUACGGAUUCUUUUCCUUGACGCUGGUAGUGAUGCGUCUGGAACGCUAUGCUUCGUUACCCGAGUAUGUUCGAGCUGUGAAAUUCAUUUAACUGUACACUUAAGAUUUAUGCAUUUUUAUAUGUAUAACUCAUAUAUAUAAAGGUUUUUUCGUUUUUUGUUUUUUUGUUUUUUUAGGUUGUUCUUUUCCAAGGGAGGCUGGAAUUCUUGGAAUUUUGCCUAAAGCCAUUCAGCUCUGGUUCCACCAUGAAUCAAUACCCAACAAGUUUCACUUCAACAAAUGAGAGAGGACUGAGGUAGAGAAGAGGCGUUGGCGGGUGGGUUCUGAGCCAAACCCGGGCUGCAGGUCGCCCCAGUGCGCCCCGCCCCGCCCCUGGAGAACGACCUGGUGCUUUUACCUCAGAUCAGUCGCGAGCGCCGGGUCCCGAACCUGAAGGCCGAGGACGUUGCUGAGGCGGCUCAUCCUCCGACAGCUCCCGGACCAGGAGACGCCUGACCCCGAACGGUCUCCCAGGACGCGCCACGCAGCCCGGUACAAAAUUCAGCCGCCUGCACGUCCCCUCUCAAGGUCCAGACCGCUGCUGUAGGUGGUUGGGAUGGCAGCGACUGUGGUGCUGGAGCCUGCGGGUCGCUGUCGCUGGGACGAGCCGGUGCGCAUCGCUGUGCGCGGCCUGGCCCCAGAGCAGCCGGUCACGCUGCGCGCGUCCCUGCGCGACGAGAAGGGCGCGCUCUUCAGGGCCCACGCGCGCUACUGCGCCGACGCCGACGGCCAGCUGGACCUGGCGCGCGCACCCGCGCUGGGCGGCAGCUUCGUGGGGCUUGAGCCCAUGGGGCUCCUCUGGGCUCUGGAGCCCGAAAAGCCUUUUUGGCGGUUUGUGAAGCGGGACGUGCAGACGCCCUUCGCCGUGAAGCUGGAGGUGUUCGACGGCCACGAGCCCGAGCCUCAGGCGGAGCAGCUCCUGGGCGUGGCAGUGCACGAGCGCGACUUCCUGCCGCCCGGGGUUCGGCGGGAGCCGGUGCGCGCGGGCCGGGUGCGCGCCACGCUCUUCCUACCUCCAGGUGAGCCUGGGGUGCUUGGGGCGCGCUCAUGUGUUCCCUAGGCCCCGCGUGGUUUUGGAUACUGCUUCCCGGGGUGUUAGGCUCUGGAGCAUGAUCACGGAAGCAGGUCCUAACUAAAUCAGUUGCCUCACAGCAGCAAUAGAGGCUUUUGAUACGUUAGCCUCUGUGCUAUGCGUUUUGUUUGCAUUACCUCAUUUACUUUUUAUAAUAUCCCAAAGAAGUGGGCACUGUUAUGAAGAUAAGAAAAGACUGGAUUUGGGGCGGUAGAUUCACUUUGUUAUCAAUAACUACCCUACAGAUCUCUGCAGGUAUCAGCCAGUCGCUGCUGCACUAAAUGAUGAUGGCUAAGGAAUCUAUUGCUAUUAUCUCCCUAUGUAGUGUCCUGAUUAGAUUGGGCCCCUUAUUCACUUAUGUUCCUGUCUACCACAGAUCACUUUUCAGACUUCACUGCCUUCCUCACUUAAAGCCUUGUCUGGUAUUUCCUUUGCUUUAAGUAGUCACCUGAACCAAAAAUAACACCAAGAGUUGGUGCAACAUAAUAUAAAACUUUGUUUCAGGAUUGUAAUUUCUGUGUCCAACACUGAGAAUCAACACUGUCUAAAACGUGAAAUUCCUCCUUUUAUGAGGUAGUCAGUCCUUAGACUUAGAUGCUCUCACUUACAGAUUCAUAGGGAGUUACCCCUGUGGAGCAGCAGGUUAAAGAUCUGAUGGUGUCUCUGCAGUGCUUGGGUUGCAGCUGAGGCUUGAGCUCGAUAGCUAGCCUGGGAACUUACAAAUGCUGCAGGUGCAGCCCCCCCCCAAAAAAAAGAUUCUUAGGACCUUGGAGAUAAUUUCUUAUAAAUUCAUGUAGAGGAUAAACUCACUGAAGAGAAGGUAUCUUGUAGACAUCUGCCGCUCACCAUCACCCCCACACACAUAAGGAAUUUGUAUCCCUUUUCGGGAAUGACUUGGAGUUGUCUUUCCUUUGAUUCACAGGAUCCUACCAAAUAAUUUAGAAAGCUCUCUAAAAGGAAAGUGAAUUUUUUUUUUUUUUUUUGUCUUUUGUCUUUUGUCCUUUUAGGGCUGCACCCAUGGCAUAUGGAGGUUCCCAGGCUAGGGGUCUCAAAGAGCUGUUGCUGCUGGCCUAUACCAGAGCCACAGCAACGCC